rnacentral:rRNA from 1 species
UUGAACGCUGGCGGCAGGCCUAACACAUGCAAGUCGCACGGUAACAGGAAGAAGCUUGCUUCUUUGCUGACGCGUGGCGGCCGGGUGAGUAAUGUCUGGGAAACUGCCUGAUGGAGGGGGAUAACUACUGGAAACGGUAGCUAAUACCGCAUAACGUCGCAAGACCAAAGAGGGGGACCUUCGGGCCUCUUGCCAUCGGAUGUGCCCAGAUGGGAUUAGCUAGUAGGUGGGGUAACGGCUCACCUAGGCGACGAUCCCUAGCUGGUCUGAGAGGAUGACCAGCCACACUGGAACUGAGACACGGUCCAGACUCCUACGGGAGGCAGCAGUGGGGAAUAUUGCACAAAGGGCGCAAGCCUGAUGCAGCCAUGCCGCGUGUAUGAAGAAGGCCUUCGGGUUGUAAAGUACCUUCAGCGGGGAGGAAGGGAGUAAAGUUAAUACCUUUGCUCAUUGACGUUACCCGCAGAAGAAGCACCGGCUAACUCCGUG